CCUACGGGAGGCAGCAGUGGGGAAUUUUGGACAAUGGGCGCAAGCCUGAUCCAGCAAUGCCGCGUGAGUGAAGAAGGCCUUCGGGUUGUAAAGCUCUUUUGUCAGGGAAGAAACGGCCUGCUCUAAUACAGCGGGCUAAUGACGGUACCUGAAGAAUAAGCACCGGCUAACUACGUGCCAGCAGCCGCGGUAAUACGUAGGGUGCAAGCGUUAAUCGGAAUUACUGGGCGUAAAGCGUGCGCAGGCGGUUUUGUAAGUUUGUCGUGAAAUCCCCGGGCUCAACCUGGGAAUGGCGAUGAAGACUGCAAGGCUAGAGUUUGGCAGAGGGGGGUAGAAUUCCACGUGUAGCAGUGAAAUGCGUAGAUAUGUGGAGGAACACCGAUGGCGAAGGCAGCCCCCUGGGUCAAAACUGACGCUCAUGCACGAAAGCGUGGGGAGCAAACAGGAUUAGAUACCCUGGUAGUCCACGCCCUAAACGAUGUCUACUAGUUGUCGGGUCUUAAUUGACUUGGUAACGCAGCUAACGCGUGAAGUAGACCGCCUGGGGGAGGUACGGUCGCGAAGAGUAAACUUACAAAUAGUUAAGUUAGUAGGCGUUGAGACGUUGCCGACGGACGACGACGAGGGAGGAGGNG
rnacentral:rRNA from 1 species